ACGUAGGUGGCAAGCGUUGUCCGGAUUUAUUGGGUUUAAAGGGUGCGUAGGCGGCCCUGUAAGUCAGCGGUGAAAUACGGCAGCUCAACUGUCGAGGUGCCGUUGAUACUGCGGGGCUUGAGUGUUGAUGGGGCAGGCGGAAUUGACGGUGUAGCGGUGAAAUGCUUAGAUAUCGUCAAGAACACCGAUAGCGAAGGCAGCCUGCCAAGCAACAACUGACGCUGAGGCACGAAAGUGCGGGGAUCAAACAGGA
rnacentral:rRNA from 1 species